UACGUAGGGUGCAAGCGUUAAUCGGAGUUACUGGGCGUAAAGCGUGCGCAGGCGGUUUUGUAAGACUGUCGUGAAAUCCCCGGGCUCAACCUGGGAAUGGCGAUGGUGACUGCAAGGCUAGAGUUUGGCAGAGGGGGGUAGAAUUCCACGUGUAGCAGUGAAAUGCGUAGAUAUGUGGAGGAACACCGAUGGCGAAGGCAGCCCCCUGGGUCAGAACUGACGCUCAUGCACGAAAGCGUGGGGAGCAAACAGG
rnacentral:rRNA from 1 species